CGAUUGUAGUCAUAUGCUUGUCUCAAAGAUUAAGCCAUGCAUGUCUAAGUUCAAGCAAAAAUAAAGUGAAACCGCGAAUGGCUCAUUAUAUCAGUUAUGGUUCCUUAGAUCGCACUUACUACUUGGAUAACUGUGGUAAUUCUAGAGCUAAUACAUGCGCUGGACUCAAACCCUUGUGGAAUGAGUGCUUUUAUUAGAUCAAAGCCAAUCGGGCCUUCGGGUUCGUUUUGUUGGUGACUCUGAAUAACUUUGCUGAUCGCACGGUCUCGCACCGGCGACGUAUCUUUCAAGUGUCUGCCUUAUCAACUGUCGAUGGUAGGUUAUGCGCCUACCAUGGUUGUAACGGGUAACGGGGAAUCAGGGUUCGAUUCCGGAGAAGGAGCCUGAGAGACGGCUACUACAUCCAAGGAAGGCAGCAGGCGCGCAAAUUACCCACUUCCAGUUCGGAGAGGUAGUGACGAAAAAUAACGAUACGGAACUCAUACGAGGCUCCGUAAUCGGAAUGAGUACACUUUAAAUCCUUUAACAAGGAUCAAUUGGAGGGCAAGUCUGGU
rnacentral:rRNA from 1 species